GCGGAUAAGCCCAACAAUAAGGUCAUAGGGCAUCAACAAAAUAGAUGAAAAACAUCAUUUAUCAGCUAUUCAGCUUUACAGGCAUCACAGAAGGCAUUCAAAUUAAUUCCUGUUUUUUUGAAGUGCAUGGUGAUACACAAUUAGAACAUGAUCUACAAGCAAAAUCCAGCACCUUAGAUGAUAAAGAGAGUUUCCAUAAAUUUUGUCAGAAUACACUGGAUCGAGUUGUAUACUAUGGCUAGAAUAAGCUGCUUGGCAGACAUAGCAUAAGGCAUAAGCUACAUCAAGCUUUAUAUUGUGUAUUUACCUAGGAAGCCAUACUGUAUCAAUCAACACUUGUCCACCUAUUCUGAAUUUGGGAAUCAUCUGCAAACAAUCUUGCUUAGCAACAAAGUUUCGAAGUGGUUACAAGUG
rnacentral:lncRNA from 1 species